rnacentral:rRNA from 1 species
CGGAGCUUGCUCCACCGGAAAAAGAGGAGUGGCGAACGGGUGAGUAACACGUGGGUAACCUGCCCAUCAGAAGGGGAUAACACUUGGAAACAGGUGCUAAUACCGUAUAACAAUCGAAACCGCAUGGUUUUGAUUUGAAAGGCGCUUUCGGGUGUCGCUGAUGGAUGGACCCGCGGUGCAUUAGCUAGUUGGUGAGGUAACGGCUCACCAAGGCCACGAUGCAUAGCCGACCUGAGAGGGUGAUCGGCCACAUUGGGACUGAGACACGGCCCAAACUCCUACGGGAGGCAGCAGUAGGGAAUCUUCGGCAAUGGACGAAAGUCUGACCGAGCAACGCCGCGUGAGUGAAGAAGGUUUUCGGAUCGUAAAACUCUGUUGUUAGAGAAGAACAAGGAUGAGAGUAACUGUUCAUCCCUUGACGGUAUCUAACCAGAAAGCCACGGCUAACUACGUGCCAGCAGCCGCGGUAAUACGUAGGUGGCAAGCGUUGUCCGGAUUUAUUGGGCGUAAAGCGAGCGCAGGCGGUUUCUUAAGUCUGAUGUGAAAGCCCCCGGCUCAACCGGGGAGGGUCAUUGGAAACUGGGAGACUUGAGUGCAGAAGAGGAGAGUGGAAUUCCAUGUGUAGCGGUGAAAUGCGUAGAUAUAUGGAGGAACACCAGUGGCGAAGGCGGCUCUCUGGUCUGUAACUGACGCUGAGGCUCGAAAGCGUGGGGAGCAAACAGGAUUAGAUACCCUGGUAGUCCACGCCGUAAACGAUGAGUGCUAAGUGUUGGAGGGUUUCCGCCCUUCAGUGCUGCAGCUAACGCAUUAAGCACUCCGCC